GAAUUUUGGACAAUGGGGGCAACCCUGAUCCAGCCAUGCCGCGUGUGUGAAGAAGGCCUUCGGGUUGUAAAGCACUUUCAGUUGUGAGGAAAGGGUAACGGUUAAUACCCGUUAUCUGUGACGUUAGCAACAGAAGAAGCACCGGCUCACUCCGUGCACGCAGCCGCGGUAAUACGGAGGGUGCGAGCGUUAAGCGGAAUUACUGGGCGUAAAGCGCACGCAGGCGGUUUGUCAAGCUAGAUGUGAAAGCCCCGGGCUCAACCUGGGAUAGUCAUUUAGAACUGGCAGACUAGAGUCUUGGAGAGGGGAGUGGAAUUCCAGGUGUAGCGGUGAAAUGCGUAGAUAUCUGGAGGAACAUCAGUGGCGAAGGCGACUCCCUGGCCAAAGACUGACGCUCAUGUGCGAAAGUGUGGGUAGCGAACAGG
rnacentral:rRNA from 1 species